rnacentral:snoRNA from 1 species
ACGACCUUACUUGAACAGGAUUUGUUCUAUAGGCUCGUACCUCUGUAUCCUUGAGUUCUAAGGAGACAGGAACUGAAGUCUGGUGGAUGAACCAUGACCCUGUGAUCAGAGUGUGAUUAAUGGUUAGAUGUGCAGAGUUUUCUGACAGACU